rnacentral:misc_RNA from 1 species
GAUGAAGAACGUAGCGAAAUGCGAUACGUAGUGUGAAUUGCAGAAUUCCGUGAACCAUCAAAUCUUUGAACGCAUAUUGCGCUCGAGGCUUCGGCCGAGAGCAUGUCUGCCUCAGCGUCGGUAUUACCCCUCGCUUCUCAACCCCUGGUUGAUGCCUGCCUGCCUUUGCAGUUGGCUAGAAGCGGAUCUGGCUUUCCCAAUUACCUUUGGUAGUUGGGUCAGCUGAAGCACAGAGGCUUGAGCAAGGACCCUUAUUGGGCUUCAACUGGAUAGGUAGAACUGGUCUUAGGACCAACUACACGAAGUUGUUGCUUGUGGUCUUUGUCUGGAGGCCAGCAGGAAACCUUUAUACCUUCGACCUGAGCUCAGGCAAGAUUACCCGCUGAACUUAAGCAUAUCAAUAAGCGGAGGA